UCAUGCCAUCCAGUGCUCUGUGGCUCCCCCAAAUCCUUGCGUGAUAGGGGCUUAGCUCCCACACUGUGCAGAUUCAAGCAGACAGCAAACACUGGACAACAGUCCUAAAGUGUAAGGACACUUGACAGCCUAUAUGACACCAACUGGCAAUUGGAAUAACAAACUGCACACUCAGCAGGUGCUCCCAGUGAGUGUGAGAGGCCACACGGAAAGGAUGCUUUGGAUGACAUGCUGGUUACUCACGCUGAAAUGAAGAUGGUGCCCACCACUUUCUGCCCACUCAUACCACCUCCAGUAUUCUGCGACAGUGGGGACCACCUGCCUCUCUGAAGCUUCUCAUCAGGGAUGACCAAGGGCAGGUCAGGGAGGACGGAGUUGCAGGCCACCACAUAUCCCAGGGACUGUUUCCCAGCUCUGUCAGUGUCUCCCCUGGGACUUGGCAUUGCUUUGCAACAUGCUUUUCUCAUCUGGGAGAAUAUGCUUUUGCAACAGCAUCCAAGCCCCAACGUUAUCAUAGGCCUGUUCUUACAUGGACCCAUUCUUAACUUGAACACAAAAAAAGCAGUCAGAUAUCAGAACAGAAAAUUCCCAAUACCCUCUAAAAAGGGGAGAAAAUGAAAAGUUUUUAAAAAUCGUACCUCCCAAAUGUACUUACAAAAAGCAGGGUUUUUAAUAUAAUUUCAGAGUAUAUUUUUCUCCUCCUCUCCUACUCAAUUUACUGAGUACUCCCAGGUACAGAAGGAGAAGGAAUUUUUCUUUGACCCUUUCCCUAUUAUGUCUAUUCUCAUCACUUCACAGAAGGAAAAUCCACACCCAGGUCAAAGCCAAUUCCUAAAUACUUCAUUUAACUUUUGUGAAGGGAGCAGGCAUGACUCAGAGAAACAGGACACAUUUCCUGCUUCCUAGGACAUUAUAACCCUUCAUGGGAUAAAGAACACAUUCUACAGUACACUUAAAUGUGUGACAAAUGAGAGGCACAGGCCUUAAGUGCCAUAAAAACUGCUAGAAAAGAGAAGUCACUUCCCUUAGGUGAAAUGUGAAAGGCUUCAUUAAGAACCAGGAAGUGAGUUGGGCUUGACUGGAGGGGUAAAAUUCUGAUGGGUGGAUGCAGAUGAACAGGUGCCCUAUGAGCACUGAUGGCAGCUUAAGAAGGACCAGGUGAAGGCAUGGCAAUGGCAAGGAGAGAAUCCAGAAACAACCCAGAAAGGCAGGUGAGGCUGGACUGCAGAAGCCCUUGAAUGCUGGUUAAUAAGUGGGUGUGCAGUGUUAUGAGCACUGGGGAUGCUCUGCUGAAUCUGAAUAUAAAGAGUGGCAUUAUGAAAGAAUGGGCAGAUUGACCGGGCAGAUUGUGUAUUAGGGAGAUUUUUGUCUGAAAUGGGGCCAAACAGAAAAACAGUAAAGGCAGGGAGCCCAUACAGCUAACUGAAUGAAAGAAAGUAUGAGAUGUUCAUGAAGAUACAGGAGGGAACCGAUCACAGAGCGGAGCGUCGCUGACAGGAGCAUGCCGAAGCAAAGCGCUGGGGAAUUUCCAGUGAGGUCGGGAACAUUGAUUAAGAAAGUGAUGAGAAAGGGAGUGACAUGAAAGGUAGGAGAGUAGGAAUCAGGAGAGCAGAAAUCUUCAAAGAGAAACUAAAGGCUCUUGUGUCUUCUACUUAGCUUGUAGACUUUCCUUCUCACCUAAUCCACAUGCCCGCAGGGCACAGGGUGUAAGAGCUGCCUACCUUCCCCCUGAGGUUAGGCCUCCUCUUCCCCAUGGGAGAAAAAUUAUUGAUCCUAAUUUCAGCCUGGCUUGAUCCUUAGAGCAGGUACCUUUACACACUUUACAAACAGUACAACCAUCUGUAGUGCUCAUGGAAUGACCCAAAUAUGGAACAGAGGAGAGACAGUAACGCCUCUGGGGAAUUCCAGUUCAUAAGUAAUUAUUAGCUUGCCUCCAACCCUGGCUAAGCGCCUCCCUCUUGGACAGAAGUGAUUGAUUCUCAUGAGGAAAGACUGAACCACACAAGACAACUUCUCUUCAAGGAAAAGUGGAUUCACUGCCACUACAUUCAAUUUUAUUAUACAUUAUAUUAAUAUAUGUUAUAUAAAUGCUCUCAUAGCACUUAAUUGUUUUACAUUUAAUAGUAUAAUUACUAUCAUCCUGGAAGUAAUGUUUUGCAAGUUUUGCUUAUUUUUAUCAUUUGUUUUGCCAGUUAAAAUAGUAAUAAUUCUUACAAAAUUCAGUGUGUUACCUCAUUAUGUGAAUUAAUAGUGAGAUUAGUUAACUUCAGAAAACAUAAUUCCAUGUAUCUUCAAUAUAGGCUUCUCCAGGUUGUUAAAGGCAAUUGCCUCACUUUGCAUAGAUAAUAUCAUUUGACUCAUUUACAAAGAAACAUUUAUUGAGCAUCUAUUAUGUGCCAUACACUGUACCAUCUAUUUGUACAGAAGGAAAGAUAUUUAAGACACAGCCUCCAUGCUAAGGCCAUUUAUGUGCCUCCAUUUAUGAGCCAGUGCAUAGAUGGCCACAGGCAAUUAGCACUGAGUUUGAUCCCCAAAUCUGCAAAAUCAGAGUCUCUGACUCUGCCAUAAAUCCUUUCUAUACUUCUAUGCAUUGUAGUAGAGGGUUGCAGCCAGUGCUAGAGUACUGUGCUUUCCUCACAGGGCUACUUUCAGAGAUUUUUAAAUGAUUUAAAGGAUUCUAAAAGGAUUUAAAUGGAUUCCUUUGUCGGGUUACUUUAAGGGAAUUUAAAGACUGACUCCAGAAUGUGUGUAUAAGCUAAAAAAUUAAUUUUUAAUUAAUCAUGCAGUCAGUGGUAUCCAUAGAAGUAGCUAUAUAGAUUUCAGACAUGCUACCACUGCACCAAAUCUCUUUGACAUUUCUCUUUUGCAAUAAAGAAGGUCAAGUUUAUGGGCCACAAGGUCAGUUUAUGGGCCACUAAAGAAACUCCAUCUCAUUUCUUAUAAUUAAAGGGUAGUCUUUUUUGAUUCAAAAACAUUUUAUGUGGUAAAAAAACAUAGAAAAAUUACUAUUCCAAUUGUUUAAAGUGUAAAAUUCAGAAGGCAUUCACUACUAUCACCACUAUGUAGUUUCAGGACAUUUUCUCAUUCCCAAGAGGAAAUCCCAUGCACAUUAAAUAGUCACUCCCCAUUCUCCUUCUCUCCCAGCCCUUAGUAACCAUUAACCAUUUUCUAUCUCUGUGGAUUUUCCUAUUCUGGGUAUUUCAUAUAAACAGAAUCAUACAAUA